rnacentral:rRNA from 1 species
AUUGAACGCUGGCGGCAGGCCUAACACAUGCAAGUCGAGCGGAGCGGCGGACGAGUGAGUAAUUCCUAGGAAUCUGCAUGGUAGUGGGGGAUAACGUCCGGAAACGGGCGCUAAUAUAGCAUAAUAUCAGAUGAGCCUAGUUCGGAUAAGCUAGUUGGUGGGUUAAAGGACUACCAAGGCGACGAUCCGUAACUGGUCUGAGUGGAUGAUCAGUCACACUGGAACUGGGACACGCACCAGACUCCUACGGGAGGCAGCAGUGGGGAAUAUUGGACAAUGGGCGAAAGCCUGAUCCAGCCAUGCCGCGUGUGUGAAGAAGGUCUUCGGAUUGGAAAGCACUUUAAGUUGGGAGGCGUUACCAACAGAAGAAGCACCGGCUAACUUCGUGCCAGCAGCCGCGGUAAUAC